rnacentral:sRNA from 1 species
UUUAUUAAAUUUUUUGCCCUCAAGACUGUCCAAGUGAUUGUCCAGGCUCGGCUUGGUGAAAAGAUUUGCACUCGUUCAUCAUCUUCUCCAACGGGUUCAGAUUGGUUCAACUUAGCAAUCAAAGACAUCCCAGAGGUUACACAUGAGGCAAAGAAGGCACUGGCAGGGCAACUGCCUGCGGUCGGGAGGUCCAUGUGUGUGGAGAUUUCACUUAAGACUUCUGAGGGAGAUUCCAUGGAGCUGGAAAUAUGGUGUCUUGAAAUGAAUGAAAAGUGUGAUAAAGAAAUCAAAGUUUCCUACACGGUGUACAACAGACUGUCAUUGCUGCUGAAGUCUCUUCUUGCUAUAACUAGGGUGACACCAGCCUAUAGGCUCUCCAGAAAACAAGGGCAUGAAUAUGUCAUAUUAUACAGGAUAUAUUUUGGAGAAGUUCAGCUGAGUGGCUUAGGAGAAGGUAUGUAUCACGGUUGAAAAACAUCGUAGUGUUCAGAGCUCUCCUAACUUCAGAGAUGAGCUUCGUUUCUACUUGUUACAAUAUGUAGAUUGUCAUUUUCACAUGCAUAAUACAAGUAAAGAAA